rnacentral:rRNA from 1 species
GAUGAACGCUAGCUACAGGCUUAACACAUGCAAGUCGAGGGGUAACGAGAGGAAAGCUUGCUUUCCUUGUCGACGACCGGCGCACGGGUGAGUAACGCGUAUCCAACCUGCCCCCAACUAGGGAAUAACCUUGCGAAAGUAAGACUAAUACCCUAUAAUUUCCUCAGAUGUCAUCUGACGAGGAAUAAAGAUUUAUCGGUUGUGGAUGGGGAUGCGUCUGAUUAGCUUGUUGGCGGGGUAACGGCCCACCAAGGCAACGAUCAGUAGGGGUUCUGAGAGGAAGGUCCCCCACAUUGUGACUGAGACACGGUCCAAACUCCUACGGGAGGCAGCAGUUAGGAAUAUUGGUCAAUGGGCGGAAGCCUGAACCAGCCAAGUAGCGUGCAGGAUGACGGCCCUAUGGGUUGUAAACUGCUUUUAUACAGGAAUAAAGUUAGCCACGUGUGGUUAUUUGUAGGUACUGUAUGAAUAAGGACCGGCUAAUUCCGUGCCAGCCGCCGCGGUAA